UAUAUUCGACAAUGGGGGCAACACUGAUCCACCCAUCCCGAGGGUGUGAAAAAGGUCUUCGGAGCGUAAUGCACAUUAAGGUGGGAGGAAGGGCUUUAGGUUAAUACCCUUAAGUUUUGACGCUACCAACAGAAUAACCACCGGCUAACUCUGUCCCAGCAGCAGCGGUAAUACCGAGGGUGCAAGCGUUAUUCGGAAUUACUAGCCGUAAAGCGCGCGUAGGUGGUUCAGUAAGAUGGGUGUGAAAUCCCCGGGAUUAACCUGGGAACUGCUUUCAUAACAGCUGAGCUAGAGUACGGUAGAGGGUAGUGGAAUUUCCUGUGUAGCGGUGAAAUGCGUAGAUAUAGGAAGGAACACCAGUGGCGAAGGCGACUACCUGGACUGAUACUGACACUGAGGUGCGAAAGCGUGGGGAGCAAACA
rnacentral:rRNA from 1 species